rnacentral:rRNA from 1 species
GAUGAACGCUGGCGGCGUGCCUAAUACAUGCAAGUCGAGCGAAUGGAUUAAGAGCUUGCUCUUAUGAAGUUAGCGGCGGACGGGUGAGUAACACGUGGGUAACCUGCCCAUAAGACUGGGAUAACUCCGGGAAGCCGGGGCUAAUACCGGAUAACAUUUUGAACCGCAUGGUUCGAAAUUGAAAGGCGGCUUCGGCUGUCACUUAUGGAUGGACCCGCGUCGCAUUAGCUAGUUGGUGAGGUAACGGCUCACCAAGGCAACGAUGCGUAGCCGACCGGAGAGGGUGAUCGGCCACACUGGGACUGAGACACGGCCCAGACUCCUACGGGAGGCAGCAGUAGGGAAUCUUCCGCAAUGGACGAAAGUCUGACGGAGCAACGCCGCGUGAGUGAUGAAGGCUUUCGGGUCGUAAAACUCUGUUGUUAGGGAAGAACAAGUGCUAGUUGAAUAAGCUGACACCUUGACGGUACCUAACCAGAAAGCCACGGCUAACUACGUGCCAGCCGCCGCGGUAA